GACGAACGCGGCGGCGUGCUUAACACAUGCAAGUCGAACGAAGAGAAAUGGAAGCUUGCUUCUAUGGAUCUUAGUGGCGAACGGGUGAGUAACGCGUAAUCAACCUGCCCUUCAGAGGGGGACAACAGUUGGAAACGACUGCUAAUACCGCAUACGAUCCAAUCUGGCAUCGAGAGUGGAUGAAAGGUGGCCUCUAUUUAUAAACUAUCACUGAAGGAGGGGAUUGCGUCUGAUUAGCUAGUUGGAGGGGUAACGGCCCACCAAGGCGAUGAUCAGUAGCCGGUCUGAGAGGAUGAACGGCCACUGGGACUGAGACACGGCCCAGACUCCUACGGGAGGCAGCAGUGGGGAAUCUUCCGCAAUGGACGAAAGUCUGACGGAGCAACGCCGCGUGAGUGAUGACGGCCUUCGGGUUGUAAAGCUCUGUUAAUCGGGACGAAUGGUUCUUGUGCGAAUAGUGCGAGGAUUUGACG
rnacentral:rRNA from 1 species